UGUUUCUGGUGAAGGGAACGAGAGUUUCUCCUUAGGAAAGAUAUCCCGGGAGAUAGCAGGAGGCCACACGCUUGCUUCUAGGCUAGGAGGCCCAAGGCAUGCAGGCACUGCUGGCCAUCUGCCCGGGAUCUAUUUGUCAACGGUCCUACCCAGGGAACCCUGAUUCUUUGGGGCAGCUAAAAAUAUUACAUUCAUUUCCUGUUUCCUUUACAGUUGGGUGCAGUAGAAGCCGAUGCAGACAUCCUGGGAUGGAGCUUCCAGGAAUGCGGCUCAAAGCUGGUAGUACCUCUGGGAUAAGUUUGGACCCCUGCCCUUCCUGUUCACCCAUAGAACCGUGGACCAGUUGCCUGUGUGGAUCAGCGGUCUUUCUAACCUGUGGGACGAUUACAAUGUGUUGAGGCCUCAGAGUGGGGAGCGUCCGGAUCUCCCAAGCCAACCUCCUUCCACUUGCUACCCGGAGACAUUAAGUCAGAAACCCUCCCCCCCUCCCCCCACUCACCCCAUCAUCUACUUCUGCUAUAACCAAAUGCAGAUCCUUAUUGAAAGAAUAACAGAAGAAAUUACCCAAAUAUUUUGAAGAAGAUGAGACCUAGGAUAUUCCCCAGGUAAUAGUCUUAAAAACAAACCAAAAAUAACAGCAAAACCAAGAUCUUCCACUCUGGGUUGUCUAUAGUCAACAUCAUCCUGCCUGAUUCACUGGACUCAUGGUCUACAGUUCAUCCCUGAAGUUCAAAGGUCAGGCCUUCCCUGAUAUAGACAGCAAAGGCAGGGGGAAGUACAGUCAUGGCAAGCCAUGAAGAAUCACAGGGAUCUUGUCCUGUAGCAGCGGUGAGCCCUGCAUUUCAGUUUCUUGCCUUGUGGAGAAAGAUUCUUGGAUCCGAAGACUAGUAAGUGAGAUGCUGGAGAUGCAGACCCAGGCACCGGGCCAGGUGUGCGCUUCUUGUGGGGCCAUCGCUGAGUAAAAGCAGGGUUUCUCGGACAGAAGUACUGCAGUACCACAACAGUCUGCCGUGAUGGCUGAGAUGCCGCAAAGGGACUAACAGGCUGGCGCUCCUCACCUUUUGUGCAGAUCCAGAUCGCCUCCAGCCGAAGGACGACUUUUGACAUUCUUGUUCCGCUAGCAAUGGAUUCUUUCCACUUAGUGUAUCUGGGAAUGUCUUUAUUUCACUUCCCUUUUUCAAUGUUCUCUUCAUGGCAGCACAGAAUUCUAGGUAGAGAUCCUCUUCACUUCAUGUUUUUAUGAGUUUUAUUCCAUUGUCUUCUUGUUUAUAUUGUUUCUAAGGAGAAAUAUGAUACUUCCUUAUGUUUGUUCCUCUGUGAGAGAAAAGCCUUCCUUCAUCAUGAGAGACAGAGGCAGACACAGACACACAUCAUAGGCAUGCGCACACACACAUACACACACACACACAAAUGUAUGUCAAGCUUUAAAUCUCAAAAUCUUCCCCCAAUAGCAUACUUACAGCAAGCCUCCACUUCCUAAAGUUUCCAGAACCUUCCCAAACAGAGCCACCAGCUGGAGACCAAGUGUCCAAAACACGAGCCUGUGGGAGACAUUUCAUAUUCAAACCACAACACUGUAUUUAUGGAUGUGAGUUUACAUUUUCAUUAAACUUGGAAAAGUUGUUUUGUCUUGUUCUGAUUUGGUUUUGUGUGGUUUUUUGAGACAGGGUUUCUCUGUGUAGCCCCAGAUGUCCUGAAACUCACUCUGUAGACCAGGCUGGCCUCAAACUCAGAGAUUCACCAGCCUCUCUGCUUCCUAAGUGCUGGGAUUAAAGACAUGUGCCACCACCACCCAGCUUGAAAACCUUUUUGUUGCUUUGAUGUCAGAAGUUUAUUUUGUUUUCUGUUCAAUGACAUAAAACUAUAUUGAUAUGGUAUUUACAAAAUCUCAGUAAAUAUUACAUACUGAAAAUUACUAAAUACUGAAAGAUUUUUCCACUGGAAUGUAGAAUCUAAUGUAGAUAUUAACCCAUAGCAAGCUUUAAAAAAUAAAAUUGCCAUGUGGUUUGUGGCCUAUGCCUUUAAUCCCAGCACUCAGGAGCCCAGCAGAUCUCUGUGAGUUCGAGGCCAGGCUGGUCUACAGAGAGAGUUCCAGGACAACUAAGACUAUAUAAAGAAACCCUGAAUUGAAAAACCCAAUAAAAAAUAAAUA